UCCAACUAGAAUGUAUAACCCAAGUGGCACAAUGGUACCGGCAUCCACAUUUUUCCAAAUGGGAAUUCAGUGAGCACCAGUUCUGUGUUUGCUUGAGUCUCCGGGAGUGUUCCGCUGACAGUGUGUUCUUCUAAAGCGAAAGUUUGUCGUAUCAGUGUUCUUCUUAACGAGGUUUCACUGUACAUAGAUGCAAAAAGACACACAUAGGUGGUCUUUAUAUUGCAUUGUCUAUUCCUUGAUACAUUGACACGUCUGUGUAUUGCUCCCCGUUCUGAUAGGUGUAUGUUUUUGUUGUAAUCGCCGUCACGUGAACGGUGUUGUCAGCCCUCAUCUCUCUUCUUUUUACCAUACAUUCCUUGUAGACUUGUAGGGUUUCAUUCUGUUGAUGUUGUUGCUGUCCGUCUUGUUGUCGUGGAGGUGGUGGAGGUGGGCUAAUUAAGUGGCCACUUGAAAUGUGAAGUGGUGUUUGAAGUGCCUAUCGGCGACAUAAGUAUUUCUUUUAAAGUGGUGGGUGUGGUGUUAGUAAGAUUGACUGUCUGGGAUGUUUUUUUUGAAAUUGAAUUAUGAUAUUCUGGAAUAUUCUAGGUAUUGCCAGACUACCCUUCAACCAACGAGCAUCAAACAACUGGAUGGGGAUAAAAGUGAUUGGAGCUGCCUUGAUGAGUCCCAUUCAACUCCAGCCUGAAGAUCGUCUUCUUCUUCUUCAAAACAAAGAUGCAAUUCAGCUGUGACUUAUGUCUUAAGACUACGACCGGCCUCCAGCCGUUCGUUGACCACGCCAAAUCAAAAGGACAUCGGAAGAACCUGGAGGCUGGUCGUCAGCCGGUUUAUAAAUGUAGCUGCGAUGACGAGUGGAUUGAUCUUGGGACAAUGAAGGAUCACGUUACAACGUCCCGACACAUCAACAACUACCUUCAGAGGCUUAUCAACUUCUACGGGGUGUUGCCCAUUAACAGCGUGACGAAGAUGGCGCAAGCCCAGGCGGAGCUCCUGUGUUUAUAAUAAAAAGUUUAAAACCAA